rnacentral:antisense_RNA from 1 species
UAGAUCUUAAGUGCAUUUCUGAAAAUGGUGAUUUGCCUUUUUAUGUGAGAGCUCAACAGGGUAAACUGGCAACAAACAAGGAUUUAAAAAUACAACCAUGGACUCCUACAAGUAUCAACGAAUGAAAAUCACUUACAUGCCACUUCCAGAGAUGCAUUUCGACUUACUGCUUCACCGAGAUAGUUCCUCGCAACACAGACGUAGCUUCCUUCAUCGGGUUUGCUUCUGCGCCCAUGAACAAUGCGCAAGAAAAAUAAGGAUCCGCUGGGCAGAAGCAUCCUGUGAGACCGGGGAUCAUCCUUGUCAGUCUCCACCCGCUCGCCAUCCUUGUACCACUCAAUGGUGGGCGUUGGCCGGCCCUCUGCCUUACAGUUCAAGGUGGUGGGCUCUCCCUUAGAGACAAUGACAUCUGAAGGGUGCUCCACAAUCCGCGGAGGGAAGUCUUCUUGGCGAAGACGAGAUCCUUAAAAUCUGUAAUAAUAACUGGCAGGAGUAGGAUUAUUCUGAUUCGAUUCUUCAGAAGCACUGGCCUCGAGUAACAUCUGUCAGAAACAUGAUGUUGUUGGUUGAGCACUUCUGGUUGUUUGCAAUCUUUGGGUAACUCUUCUUCUCCACUUUAUGUCCAACCUUGGUAUCACAGUGACUCUCAUCAAGCUCAAGAAUAUCUGCCUUUGUAGAAUGGCCAAAUAAUAGCUUCUAGGCCUCUACACUCCCUGAAGAAGAGAUACCCACCUUCAUUCCAGCCUCUGUUCCAUUUCCUGCCUGCUGGAGCUACAUUUUCAAUGAACUCCGCUUCAUGUGCCCAGCUGUGCUGCUCUCCACAGGUGGCCCGGCAGCUGUUUCAGUGCAGCGGUCUCUCAGUCUGGAGACAUCGGUCAGCACACGUUGUCUACCAUGGCCUGGAUUAUCUGCUGCAGGUCAUCUCCUCCAUUCCCAGAUGCAGCAGACAUGACAAAAUGGAAACUUAAAAGCUACAGUCUGAAGGUCUGGCUCCCAAUCAGUUUCAAACUAGGAGCUGAAUAAGAUCUCUCUGUCUGGAGCACUGAGAGUUCUUGGCACACCCUCAACACCUGGGACCCCCUUUCCAAGGUUUUCCUUUCCAGGGGGUCCGAGUCAGCUUGCUCAGAGUUGGUCCAGAGAAAAAGAGCAUCAAAACGAGAAAAAGUUCAAGUCUAGUAAUUCUCCUCACUUUCUCUAAUGAUAACAUUUCCACAAGUUAAUUUCACAAAAUUUCUCACAUCCUCUUCCCUCCCGGUUAUUAAAAUAGCCUUAAUCAUUGAAAAACCCGAGGUAGGUGUUGUUUUGCCAUCUUUAACAGCUGAAGUAGCAGCUCCCUGAUGUAGCCCUGAGCCAAGCUACAUUUCUCACGGAUCCG